rnacentral:rRNA from 1 species
UACGUAGGGUGCAAGCGUUGUCCGGAAUUAUUGGGCGUAAAGAGCUUGUAGGCGGUUUGUCGCGUCUGCCGUGAAAAUCCGGGGCUCAACCCCGGACUUGCAGUGGGUACGGGCAGGCUAGAGUGUGGUAGGGGAGACUGGAAUUCCUGGUGUAGCGGUGAAAUGCGCAGAUAUCAGGAGGAACACCGAUGGCGAAGGCAGGUCUCUGGGCCACUACUGACGCUGAGAAGCGAAAGCAUGGGGAGCGAACAGG